AGAUUGAACGCUGGCGGCAUGCCUUACACAUGCAAGUCGAACGGCAGCGCGGGGCAACCUGGCGGCGAGUGGCGAACGGGUGAGUAAUAUAUCGGAACGUACCCUGGAGUGGGGGAUAACGUAGCGAAAGUUACGCUAAUACCGCAUACGAUCUAAGGAUGAAAGUGGGGGAUUCGCAAGAACCUCAUGCUCCUGGAGCGGCCGAUAUCUGAUUAGCUGGUUGGUGGGUAAAGGCCUACCAAGGCAUCGAUCAGUAGCUGGUCUGAGAGGACGACCAGCCACACUGGAACUGAGACACGGUCCAGACUCCUACGGGAGCAGCAGUGGGGAAUUUUGGACAAGUGGGACGAAAGGCCUAGGACUCCGAGCAAUGCCGCGUGAGUGAAGAGC
rnacentral:rRNA from 1 species